GUAAAAAUUCUAAACAUCAAAAUUCACAGGCUGAAGCUGACCCAUCCACUAAUCGUUUUCUAUUGUGAAUCCCGUUUCCACUGGAUCCAAAUUGCACAAUUGCCUCGUUUGCUUUCUUUUUGACGGGAGUUGAAUCAAUUUACGAACAGGCAAGGUGAAUUUCCGGAUAAGAAACUUGAAACUUUACAGUUUGGAAUAAUAAUACCCGCAUUGAUCAGAAAAUAUUAGAGUGGGAGAAGAAAUUACGAGUAGUUAAUUCAAUAAAAGAUUAAGAAUCUUUCAGUACUAAAAAUUUUCAACGCUUCUUAUAAAAAACGAGUUUAUGCUAAACUCCCCCUGUUAUUUGUGAACGUCCUUGACUCAUUAUCAUAAAUUCUUAUGACAAAACUGCUGUGAAGCAAGAACACAUUGCAAAAUUGCAGUAGAAGUAUUUGAUCAAAGAAGAGUGUUUCAUCUUUCGAAUCAGGCAUAUGCACAAGUUUGCUCUCAAAUCAUCAUUUCAAUUGUAAAGAACGAAAAGGCAUUUGGUCAUCUGAAAAGUGUUAGUAGUUUUCUUCGAUCAAGAACAAAAAUAAAAGGCUCGAAUUCUGGGAGCUUCUAUAUCGUGAAAAAAUGUAUUUUAGAUACAUAGAUCUGCAUCAAUUGAUCAAUUGAUCAAUUUAGAUAAAAUUGAUCAAUUGAUCUGAAAGAAUACUACUAAUCAUUAAGUAUAUCUAAGACUGGUUUUGCUUGAAUGUUGCUUUACUUCUUACAGUAAGUUUAAAUUUUUGUUUCAUGGUAAUCAAAAUUUAGAGAUUUAGGCUUUUUUGCUUUAUGCUAAUUGUUGAGUAAGGUUUUUGUAAAUGUAAAGAAAAAAGAACUAUGGUAUUCGGGCUAUUUACAAAGAUCAAUUUGGUUGGUACAGUAGAUUUACUGGUCGCAUGAAAAAUUUCUCACUUAAAGUUGGAAUUUUCAUCCUUCCACGCCCCUCCAAAAUUAGCAACUUAUUUUCGUCCCUGACUAUUGCUAGUGACGCAGCCGCAUCAGUCAGAUUUCCAAAGAACUUGUAAGACAUAGGGCAGUAUUUUCGAAGUAUCGAUGCUGCAGUCAACAUCUUCUGAAUUUUCAUGACUCAUUAUUCGAUUACUAUUUUGCUUAUUACCCCCACCCCACGUUGCAAACCAAUCCUCUUGCUCCCCAAAACAAUCGAGCUUCGUCAGAAGUGUUUCAAACCAAUCAAAUAAUGAAGCAAAUGUUGCGAGCCAAGGAGGCUGAAAGGCACAAGGAGGCUGAAAAACGUCAAAGCUACCUGGUUACCACGAGGAAUCAAGAUGGCCGUCUCACUUCUUGAUGCUCUUAGUGAAUGCCUCCAGACGAUAAAUUAAUAAAAACAAACAAAAUAAAGGAUGGAUGCAUUUUGGCAAUAUCUUCGCGGUUCAGUGAUGGAAAGGCUAGUUUUUCGGGUGAAUUCUGCGAAUUUUCAAGAUUGCAGUUUCCAGCGAGCCAGCAAGAUGGAGAGCAAAGGAAUUGAAACCUGUCAGGUCCCAACAGCUCUUCGUUUGGUCCAAGUUACAACAAUGUUGAGAGUGAAAACGACAAGCUGGUUGAUCAGCUGUCCACGAAAGUACAAGCGCUUAAAUCAGUAGUUAUCAAUUGAAAUUGGACAUGAAGUAAAGCUACACAAUACCCUUUUGGAUGGUAUGGUAUGAUGCGCUGCUACAAUGCUUGCUAAAGGUCUUGGGAAAAUUUUUUACAGGGCAAAUCUGCAAUCCCACCCGUCAACAAGAGGUAGGAAGGGACGUCCCUGCCAAGAAUACCCUCUUCACAGGACUGUGCUCCUUGGCAGAGCAGUAACCUACAUUUGUGCAUCCCAUGAAGUCAACUGUAAUAUGUUUAAUGAUAAAGACCUGCGCAAGCUUUUACCCUAUGUCAAUGAUGCCUUUAGUCAAUUUUCAAACAAAAACAUUUUCUCAGCAGCAAUCUUUCAUAUAAAUUCUACAAACAGAUUUUUUAGCUGCACCCUUUUACCUUUCGUCUAAAUCGCCUUGUAUCAUGUUAUCAUCGUAAAUUGUCUUGAACUGCGUUUUAUCAUAUUGCUUAAACAGCUUCUUAUAUAUUACAAAUUAUCCCGUUGUUUUACCCCGUUGUUGUAUUUUGCAACUGUUCAUUAAACCUCUAGAAAAAAAUCAACACAAAUAUUGGACAUUAGAUGCAGUGGCGGAUUGGCUACCCUUUGACCCACCGGGAAAAACAAGCAAAAGGGCGCCAAUAGGUUAUAAAAUUGCUUAUCAUUGGGGCUUGUAAAACGGGCCCGGAAAAAUUUUGUCAUUCUUCAUCCUUAAAAUUCUUUGCAACUGAAAACACCCUAUUUAGGAUGUGGGAACAAUUGGUAUUGGCAUGAAGAAGACUCUCUGUCAAAUUGACUGUGUUUGAAACGUCUACACGGCUGGUCAAAUUUGUAGGUAUCAAGUGACGUAUUGUCCCUCAAUUUAAUGUAUCAAAUGAAGAUAUCAAAUGAUAGAUUUUGAAAGUUGGACGUUUUCAGUUAGCGAGACACUCCCUUACAAGAUUUCAGAAAGAAAGCAGCUUCUCUGGCCUAGGAGACGAGAUUAUUUUCAAUUAAACUCGAUCUCAAAAUCUUUAAAAAUUUGACGAAAUACAUGACUUCGUUCUCAUCAAACGGUAACAUAAAGUUUUGGAGCAUAUCAUUGAGAAAUGUAAAGGGGUCCCACAUCACCUGCUAGCCUAAUGACUAUGUUGCUCCAUGCUUCUGCCUCCAUGCUACAGUUACAUAUCAUUUACAAAAGAUAUAAUUCCGGUUCAUCAGCGUGCGGAAUUAUGAUCAGGUAUUGAACAUGUGCUCAAAACCGUAGACUUGUCUGAAAGAUAUCUGAUAACAUAUCUUGGACAAACAGUCACCGCGGAGCGUUGAGAAAAGUGGGGGGUCUAAAAAAAGCGGGGAGGGAGGGGUGGCUAAAACCGUAUAAAAAGAGGCUUUUCUGGUAGUUUGAUACUUAAAAUUUGGCAUUUUUUGCAAAAAGUGGGAGGGCUAAAGCCCCCCCUGCUCCGCGGUGCCUGACAAAUGGAUUUUAAGAGAUCUUGCUGCCAUCCUUUUUGUGCAAAUUGAUGAUUUUGCAGAUUGAUAGGCUCCCUCUCUAUGAGAAACUGUGCGUAGAAAUGGUAAAAGGAAAACAAUUUCUUAGGAAAAGGCACAGUUCUUUUCCGGGACAAAAAUUUGAAGAAAGAUUGGAAAACCUUUAAUAGCUAGUUGUAAAUUUGAAACCAGUUUUUUCAAAACAGCAGGUUUAACUUUCCAUUAAGUUUCCUAGAAGGUUCUUACAUGAGGGUAUCAAAUCUCAACAAAUUCUGUAUAAAUUUUUUAAAAAAUGUUCAAGAUUUUUUACUUCAGUUAGUGAUAAUUUUUUUGGGUGCAAAACUCCUGGUUUUAACGUACAAAAAACAGGAUGCCUGUGAGUUAUUAGUUGAAUUGCAAAACAUAAUAGCUUGUCACGGACAGGAAAAAUUGUCCUCUAUCAUUCAUAAACUAGUUUUCAGGAGAAGGGAUAUAGGCCAUCAAGGGAUAGUUGAUGGCCCAAAGAAAAAGGACUAUUAUUCAAGAGAGACAACACAAUGAAUAUGCACAUAUUACGGCAAUAUAUGAAAAAUCCCCUUCUCCUUAAACAACUAUUUUAACAAACUUUAACAAAUAGCCAUUAUAAGCGUAAUUGCCACAACGUUUGAAUAAAUCCCCCCUCCCCAUCUCUGAUUACAUAAUAUGUGAACGUUCCCAUACCCAAUAGCCAACACAUCCAGUAACAGCCAUUCUGAUUAGAAAGAACACAAGGAAGUGCUCAGCUAUUUUUUUUCCAAAGUGCGAGCCCUCAGUUAUUGGAUAUCAGGCACUAGGAUUAAUUUGCAUCAGCCAUAAGUAUAGCCAUAAAUCAAAAAACUUAUAUGGUUAGUCAGAAGUCAUUGGUUUCACAAAAUUAUUAGUCAUCAGUCAAUUGGCAAAUAGUCUGCUAGUUAGCUAGUGAAAAUCCCUACUACCCCCUCAACAGAAAUCGAAUUAAUUCAAAUAUUGUGCCCUUGCUUGAAAAAAUUGCAAGCUAACCAAAAUUACAAGACGUUUUAUACUCUGAGAAGUUUCAGACAAAAAUGCUUCUAGUGUGUUUAAAAUAUUUUUUUUCAAAGUCAUUUCCCAAACAAAAUAUGUUUUUUACAAGGUUUUCAGAAAAUCUGGCAGAAUUUGCAGAUUGGGAAACUUUGCAAUCAAUCUCAAUAUUGCUCAACUUAAAGGUUAAGCUAAACUUUUUAUGCAAACGUACUUUGGACAAUUGAUGAUUGUAAUCAAUUUUAGUUAUCUGCGAAGAUUAGUUGCCUUUUGAAAAUUUUCUUGUUUUUGAAAAAAAAUAACUUGGGGCAGAGGGCGCAUCGGGAAACUUCCCGGUGUCCCGGUGGGCAAGUCCGCUUCUGAUUAGAUGCUAAUCCAGACCUUGUUUUCCUCUUGAAACUAGAUUCCCAAUUUCGAAUAUUGAAGCGAUACUUUAUACUUAAAAGCUGAUGUUUCUGGUAAUGUACCAAUGAAAGUUAAAUAAAUGACCAAUCAAUGUAAUGUAAUGUUUCUAGGUUCAGUUGUGUUUCAAUGAGCAAUUUAAAUGAUCAAUCAUGCAAUUUUAGGGAGAUUGUUCUUGAGAUUGAUGGUACUUUUAUGCGAGGUUCUUCUGUACUAAAGUUCGAGAUUUAAGAAACCAUGUCAAAGAAGUUGCAUAACGGAGGCACCUAGGGCCCUUGAGAAAAAUUGAGCUGUAAACCUAUUUAAAAAAAGUUGUUGUCAAAGGUUUGUAAAAAUAUGGUCGCCAUUUUAUCAUAGGAAGUACCCUUUCAGAUUUUGUUUCUUCUUGAAAGAUCUUUAUUUACCUGUUUUCAAUGUAGCAACUUAGUAACAACAGAAAAUUCAGACUAAAUGGAAAGGAAAACAAUUAAAUGGUUUUUGAUACAAGUCUUUUUAUGCUGAAAUUCUCCGGUACCAGUGGCGUAGCCAGUCUUGGAAGAUUGGAGGGGCAAAGAGGUGUCUGAGAGCAGGGAGGUCUGGGAAUUGGUAACCCUUAUUAAUUUGGAAAAACGCCCCGCUUUGUCAAUGCGUUUGUCAAUGCUUGUCAAACACAAUAAUCGUCAUAUGUAGGUUUUUGUGGCUGACCCCAUUCUACAACUGUCUAUUUUCUUCACAAUCCCUCUUACGUUUAAAUUCUGAAUUAUGUAAGGCGAGGAAGCUCUACGUGUAAAAACUGAUUUUUCAAAGUUUAAAGCAAGUAUCGUAAAACCUCAAAAUAAGUCCGUUCUCCUAGGAGUAGAAUCUGCAAAUUCCUUGACAAACAUUUCAGAAUCCAUUUUUUAAGGAUUGAGGCGCUUUGACAUUUUAGUUUCUAUUUUAUCGGGAAUGUCUAAAAACGUGAAGAACCUUUCUAUAUAAACCCUGAAACAGGGGUAAAUUGUGAGACAUCCUGUACCAGUAUACGUCUGCGACCGUUUUAAGAUUUGUCGUUUUGUUGCACUCUUUUAGAACGUUUUAAUUUCUUUUGAAAUAAUUCCGAGGCCUUAUAAAGGCUACUUUGCUUCAAACCUAAACCUUUGAUAUACAAGCAUAAACUGAGAGUUAACAAGGUUUGUUGUCAAUGAAACCACGGUAUUACAGAAAGCAAAUGUCAAGUUUUAAUCAACACGAAAAUUUGAAAAAAAACACGAUUCAUAUUUCAGCUUCAGCUUUACCCUUCCAUAUUUUAGAAUUUUACUACUUACAAAAUUUUUAUUUUGCUUCCGCAAUAUAACAUACAAUACAAAUCAAGUAAAAUAUAGUUUAAAAGCAAAGUUAAGACUAAAAUAACAUGCUAAAUAUUGCAAGGAGGGAAAUUUCUCUGUCAGGGGGACUUGCUCAGUAGAGAAACAGAAAUUAGAAACAGCUUUUAACAAACAGUAGGCUCAAUUUUUCGAAAGUUAAGAAAUAGACGUUAUUUUCUAAAAUUCUAAAGUUGAAGAUUUUUGGUUUAAAUAAGAGUUCUAAAUAUGAUUUCAAACAAAACACAUGACUUUUCAAUAAGUAACUUUGUGCUGGGUAUCAUUAAACAUGGCUUUUAUUCGCUCAACGACUACAUUGAUUAAUGGAUAGGGAUUGGCAUGUAAUUCAAAGUUGAGAUCCGUGCCUAACAACAAUUAAACUUUGUGCCAUAAUUUCGCUCUGUAUACAAAUAGUUAGCGGGUUAUAAAUGUUUGCUCAUAUUGCAAACUUAUAGAAUAUAGCAGUAAUUCUAAAAUUAAAAUGCUUGGUUUAAUUCUUCUAAACUUACAUAGAAUAAGUUCUUGGAUUGCCUGCGUUUACAAGACCAAAGAGCCCCAGAAGCGACGAGGCAGUAAAAGCUGAUCGAAAUUGUUGGGAUUUGCAGUCGAACAUGAACAUCGUUUCAGCAUCCGCCAGUCUUGCUAUCGUUCUCCUUUUGCAGAAAGGGAGUGUUAUGAGUCACAGAAGUGAAUUUAAAGCGACAGGUUUGAUCACAUGUUGGCCAGACUAAAAAGAACAUACCUUCAGCAAUGUGCAUUCAUAAUGCUGGCAAUCAAGGGCCUGUGAUUGGACAAAUGCCCUCAUAGCAGUUUUUGUUAUUGUUUUGUCGUGCAACUGAAGCAUGGUCUUGCAACAUUUGGGACUCUUCUCUCCGCGAGCUAACAUGUUAUUAUCUUUGAGCAACACCUUCGCAAAGGGGCGUGCUUUCCUGCAUGCUGUUGGCUUCAGUGCAUCUGAUUGGCUGCUCAAUCUGUGCUUCUAGUCUCAGUAGAUUUCUCUACCAAUCCGAAGCCCGCUGAACUCAAAGCAUGUAACGUCCCAAGGGCAAACUUGAACAUGGACAUCGCCCCAUAGGGACCUAGACUUUGAGGGAAUUUAUUAUGGGUUGGCCACAGAGGCGUGCAUCUCUUCCCGCCAUUUUUCAACAGAAUUCAUUGGCUGCAAACUGUUAACUCGACAAAAAGUAUAAUAUUAUUGGCUGAUUUCAAAUUCAAAAACCGUUGACCAACUUCAAGAGGAAUUUUAUUCAGCGUGGUUUUUUCUUUUCAUUGUGUUCAGGCCAACGUGUAAUACAGGCCUUUGGUAAACUAGGAAUGAUGUCGAACUCGACGAAACUGGAUUCACGGUUAGUGUUUUCUUGCAAAUUUACUUUUGACGUAACAGUAAAUAAUCUUGUUUCUUACCCCAUGGAUUUAAAUUUCGAUGUUAAUGUUUACUGCGAAGUGAACCCUAACGCCUGAAAUUUGAAGGAAAUUUGUUACCUUUAUUUUAUAUCUCUACAAUGUGCAUAGAGAGAACGUUUUCAACGCAAUUACAAUAACAGUUGCUAAAUCUUUAAGGGGGCAUAUAAUUAAGAAUUUUUUUGCAUAGGCUUGGUAUAGACAUUACAUCAUACAAAUACAUAUACACACUUUUAUUUUUAAUUUUUUUCUAUUUAUUUUGCUAAAAAGGUAUCUAGGUGAAGAUGGCCUUUCACCUAAUUACAACAUUAACAUACUGCUACAAAACUUUUCACGCGUUUUUAUACGAACCAGUGAAUUUAAGUUCAGGCUGACUGUUCUUAAUUUUUUCGAAAAUCUGAGGCUGGAUUGUUCUAAAUGUUUUUCUAAAUAAAGAGGGUGUAAGCAGUGCAAUUGCUAGUUUUUUCGCUCCAGGGAGGUUUCCAGGCCACAUUUGCCAACAAAUUGACUUAGACAACCUUCAUUUUCAUACAAAUUUUAAAGUUCACCGAUAACGCAACCACACCUGAAGUUUUCUGAUGAAAUUUUACAGUAGCUCAGCCUCAGCUUGUUGUUCAUUUGUUCUUAACUUUUAACCAAUUUUGAGGCUCGUGUUCUUAUAAAAUUGUUUUUAUAAAAAAGUAUGUAUUUGUUUGAUGCUGUAAGCGCCAUCACGCUUGUUCAUUUUUAAACAUCAAUUUUCAAAGUAAGUGCUUAAAAUGUAUCUUUAAUCAGAUAAACCGAGUCGCAGCUCCUUGUUUGCCAACGCUGCUCAAGCCAGUUUUUAAAUGUAUUCGAAUUAGGUGCAUGAACUACAGCUUUCGGUCGGCUGUUCUAAUGCAUCUUGGAUAUUUCCCAAAUCUUAUUGCCUCAUUUAGAUAGAACUGUCCGAAUGGAGCCUGAAAUAUGAUAAGCGAUAAGGGGGGCCACAGCCCUUCCAGCCCCAAUUUCUAUUAGGCCUUUAAUUCUACAACUUCAAAGUUUAUCGAAGGGAGAACUUAUUUUGUAUUUAAUUAUUUUGAAGGGAUAUUCUACAAAGGACAAGAAGACACAUUGAAAUGAAUGUCAAAAGAAACCAGGUCAAAGGACUCAACAUCCUGGAAUCCAUGCAAAAGACCUCGUGUCAGGCGAGUUUAUUUUAGUUUCUUUCCUUUUUUUCUCUCUGAGUGAUGAAAAUGAUUAAUGGCUCUGUUUGACCAUUAUACAAUAAAUAAUUUCAGCAGACACCUGUUGAGAUAAAUGAUUGGAACUAAUUUCUUGCGAAAGAAAAAAGGUGUCAUUUGACCUUAUAAAAGAAAUUGAUUCAGCAAAUGAUGCAAUUAUUUGUAAUUGAUUCAUUGUUUUGCUUUUCAGAGAUAUAUUUACAAUGUAGAUCACUUUGCUUACUCUGCUUUCUAUUUUCAUUCAAAGAAACUCAAGGUUUCAUCAUUUCAAAUUCUUCAAAUGAAUAUAAAAAUUUGUUGUUGAUUUCACUUUUGCCGUUAGAUCGAACAUAGUGGUGCUCAUAUUAACCUUUUGAAAAUUACUGCAUCUUUAGAAAUUUGUGGAGUGGUUCUCAUAUUAACCUUCCGAAAAUUACUGCAUCUUUAGAAAUUUGUGGAGUGGUUCUCAUAUUAACCUUUUGAAAAUUACUGCAUCUUUAGGAAUUUAUGGAGUGGCAUAUUAACCUUUUGAAAAUUACUGCAUCCUUCAAAAUUUGUGAAGUGGCUCCAACAGAGCCUUUUAGCCUCCAUACUUUCUCGGUCCCCGCUACAAAUCAUUUAAAAAGGGAACAGUAACAGUUUAAUUAUUAAACAGGAUAAACAAAGCAAACUAUUAAACAUUAUUCUAAAGGGUCUGCAGGUCUGUAAUAUCUUAAAGAAAUAUCUUCCAGAAGGAAUUCGUUUAGAAGCAUAUGAUAGUUCACAAGGUACCAUUAAAGAACACUCAAAAUUUAUUGAAUGGCGAAAUGUCUCCUAGAAAAUUGACUAUAUCAAAUUGGUCAGACAACAAAAUAUCAUUAAAGAUUUUGUUGUUUAUAAUUUAAAAAAAGGAAUGCUAGAAACAUAAAAACAAAGAAAAAUAAAAAAAUUAUUUUAAUAUUUAAUCAUAUUAUGAAAUUCGAAGGUACAUUGUUUAAAAAACUAUGGCAGUUAGAAAACUAUGGCAGUUGAAAGUCGGUGUAAAAGAGGCUGAGUUCGAGGUUUUUUUAACAUACGAAAUGGAAGGGCAAUUGCCCCUGCAGCGCCAAUAACAUUCCAUUGUUUAAAAAAUAGGUUAUUGUCUUCCUCUCCAUAUAAAAAAGGUUUGCACCGCAGCUAUUUAUGAACAGCCUGAUACGAUUCUUCGUUGAAGGUCCUUCUUAAAUGAUUUGUUUUUGGUGGAACUACUUAUGUCAAAAAGAUAACAUUGUCGGUUAAACUGAUAAAUGGUCCUUCUUGUGUUUAUAGAAUACCUUAAAUGAUUCUUUGUUGAAGGUCCAUCUUAAAUGUGUUGCGUUUGGUUGAAAUACGUGCAGUUGAAGGAAAACAUUGCUGUAUAAACUGAUAAAUGAUCCUUUCUUGUGUUUAUAGAAAGCUUUAAAUGAUUCUUCGUUUAAGAUACAUCUUAAAUGAAUCGUGUUUGGUCGAACUACUUACAGCAAAAAGAAAACAUGGCUGGUUUAACUGAUAAAUGUACCUUUCUUGUGUUUAUAGAAAACAUUAAAAAUUCUUUCUUAAAAGUCCAUCUAAAAUAUUUUGUAUUUGAUGGAAGUACUUGCGGCAAAAAGAAAUCGUGGCUUGUUUAAUUUAUAUAUGGUCCUUUCUUGUGUUUAUAUAAAACUUUAAAUGUUUUUUCCUUCAAGGUCGAUCGUAAUUGAAUUGUGUUUGAUCGAACUUUUGACAGUGAAAAGAAAACAUGGCAAGUUAAACUGAUAAAUGGUCCUUCUUGUGUUUAUACAAAAUCUUCAAUGAUUUGUCGUUAAAGGGUCCAUCUUACAAGUGAUGCGUUUGGUCCAAAUACGUGCUGUAAAAGGACAACAGGGCUGUUUGAACUCGUAUAGGUCCUUCAUUGUGUUUAUAAAAUGCUUUAAAUAAUUUUUUGCUUAAAUUCCAACUUAAAUGAAGUGUCGAACUUUUUGGUCGAACUAAUUACGGUGAAAAGAAAAUAUAGCCCGUUAGACUAAUAAAUGGUCAAUUCUUGUAUUUUUAAAAAGCCUGGAAUGAUUCUUUGUUAAAAUUCCAUCUUUAAUGAGUUGUGUAUGGUCGAACUACUGACGGCAAAAAGAAAACAUGGUUGGUUAAGCUGAUGAAUGGUCCUUUCUUGUCUUUAUUUAAAACCUUUUAAUGAUUCUUCCUUUAAGUUCCAUUUUAAAUGUAUUGCGUUUGGUCCAAAUAUGUGCGGUGGAAAGAAACAUGGCUGGUUAAACUGAUAAAUGGUCCUUCUUCUGUUUAUAGAAUAUCUUCAAUGAUUCUUCGUUAAAGGUCCAUCUUAACUGUGUUGCGCUUGGUCCAAAUAUGUGCGGUGGAAAGAAAACAUGGUUGGUUAAACUGAUAAAUGGUCCUUCUUCUGUUUAUAGAAUAUCUUUAAUGAUUCUUCGUUAAAGGUCCAUCUUAACUGUGUUGCGCUUGAUCCAAAUAUGUGCGGUGGAAAGGAAAUAUGGUUGGUUAAACUGAUAAAUGGUCCUUCUUGUGUUUAUAGAAUACCUUAAAUGAUUCUUCGCUAAAGGUCCAUCUUAACAGUGUUGCGUUUGGUCCAAAUAUGUGCGGUGGAAAGAAAACAUGGCUGGUUAAACUGAUAAAUGGUCCUUCUUUUGUUUAUAGAAUACCUUAAAUGAUUCUUCGUUAAAGGUCCAUCUUAACUGUGUUGCGUUUGGUCCAAAUAUGUGCGGUGGAAAUAAAACAUGACUGGUUAAACUGAUAAAUGGCCCUUCUUGUGCUUAUAGAAUACCUUAAAUGAUUCUUCGUUAAAGGUCCAUCUUACCUGUGUUGCGUUUGGUCCAAAUAUGUGCGGUGGAAAUAAAACAUGACUGGUUAAACUCAUAAAUGGUCCUUCUUGUGUUCAUAGAAUAUGUUAAAUGAUUCUUCGUUAAAGGUCCAUCUCAAAUGAAUUUUUUUGUGGAACGACUUAUUGCAAAAAGAAAACAUGGUCGGUUAAACUGAUAAAUGGUCCUUGCUUCUCUUUAAAGAAGAACAUUAAAUAAUUUUUCGUUAAAGUUCCAUCUUGAAUGAAUUGUGUUUGGUCAAACUAUUUACGGUGAAAAGAAAACAUGGUUAGUUAAAUUGAUGAAAGUUCCUUCUUGUGUUUAUAGAAUACUUUAAAUGAUUUUUCGUUAGAGGUCUGUCUUAAAUGAAUUUUUUUUGUCCAACGAUUUACGGCAUAAAGAAAACAUGGUCGGUAAAACUGGUAAAUAGUCCUUUCCUGUGUUUAUGGAAUACCUUAAAUGUUUCUUCGUUAAAGGUCCAUCUUAACUGUGUUGCGUUUGGUCCAAAUAUGUGCGGUGGAAAUAAAACAUUACUGGUUAAACUCAUAGAUGGUCCUUCUUGUGUUCAUAGAAUAUGUUAAAUGAUUCUUCGUUAAAGGUCCAUCUCUAAUGAAUUUUUUUUUGGAACUACUUAUUGCAAAAAAGAAAACAUGGUCGGUAAAACUGGUAAAUAGUCCUUUCCUGUGUUUAUGGAAUACCUUAAAUGAUUCUUCGUUAAAGGUCCAUCUUAACUGUGUUGGGUUUGGUCCGAAUAUGUGCGGUGGAAAGAAACAUGGCUGGUUAAACUGAUAAACGGUCCUUCUUCUGUUUAUAGAAUAUCUUAAAUGAUUCUUCUUUAAAGGUCCAUCUUAACUGUGUUGCGCUUGGUCCAAAUAUGUGCGGUGGAAAGAAAACAUGGUUGGUUAAACUGAUAAAUGGUCCUUCUUCUGUUUAUAGAAUAUCUUUAAUGAUUCUUCGUUAAAGGUCCAUCUUAACUGUGUUGCGCUUGGUCCAAAUAUGUGCGUUGGAAAGAAAACAUGGUUGGCUAAACUGAUAAAUGGUCCUUCUUGUGUUCAUAGAAUACCUUAAAUGAUUCUUCGUUAAGGUCCAUCUCAAAUGAAUUUUUUGGUGGAACGACUUAUUGCAAAAAGAAAACAUGGUCGGUUAAACUGAUAAAUGGUCCUUGCUUGUCUUUAAAGAAGAACAUUAAAUAAUUCUUCGUGAAAGUUCCAUCUUGAAUGAAUUGUGUUUGGUCAAACUACUUACGGUGUUGUUUUUUGUCGAAAUAUGUUAAUUGAAUACAACACCGGGCUUGUCAAACUGUUGAAUGCUCUAUCCCUGUAGUGAAAAAUACGAGUUUAUACUUUUUUCUUUUUUAAAGGGCCAUGUUUGGUCAACAUUUGUUUGAUGAAGGGAAAAAAGGACUUUUUCAUUUAACAAUUUUUUUGUUUAAAAAUUUGCAUAAAUUUUCGAAAUGUUGAUUGAUGAAAAGUUCUUUAUAAAAGAGGAAUUGAAUUCUGAUAAUAGAUAAAUUAUAUAUUUGAUUAUAUAUCUGAAAACUAUAAAUUAUUUUUAGAUUUUGCAGCAGCAAUUUUGAAGUCAACUUGAUAAAGUAAAAAAUUUAAGAAAAUAUUAGUCUAGCUAUAAAUUUCUGCCUAAGUAUCCAUUGACAAAAGUUUUGAAAGAACAAUGAAUCUAACUUCUUUUAAGAGUUCUUUUUAAGCAUUUGGCUGCCAAGACCCUUCAACUCAAAAUGUGGUAAUGUAACCAACUCAAGUGGUAAUCUUUAUGGGUAUUUUCUUAUAUAUAUUAUAUUAUAUCAGAUUAUGAUCUUUUAUCGUUGAAAUUCAAACAGAUAUCUUGAAAUUGUAGAACUCUAACGGAAAGUGAACGCUUUUCAUAGUACUUGAUAUAAUAUUUUCCAAUGAAACCUGGACACAUAUCUUAUUAAAGGUGAUAGUUAUUCGUGAUUUUAAUGUUGCUGUGAAAGUAGAAAUAUUUCUGUUUAGUAAGAUAAAGAGCUAGGAGAAAAAAUUCAACUUGUUAAUCGCCAGAACUAGAACAACUUUAAUUGCAAUCUUUGUCCUCCAUGUAAAGCAGAUUUGCCAACAGAUAUGAUAUUUCUUAAAAAAACUUCUUAUUCAUGCAUACCAUAGAGCUGGACGCCGUGGCGAGUUGACUGGAGACAGCUUUAAAAGAGCAAAAUGACAAUUCUUGUUGCCAACGAAGCUAAAGAGCCAACAGACGAUAAUUCAAUGGAGAUAAAUGCUGUUUAGCUGAAGAGUCGACAAAGAUCGAUAUGAAAAAUAUGAAUCUUUGGAACUCAGAGACAUAGCAUUCCAAUGACGAAAAAGCUAUUGAGCAGAAUACACUCAUUGCAGCAUUCUAGGAGAAAACUGCUAAAGCCACAAGGAGUAGGUGAGUUUGUUUCGAUCGCACUUUCUAAACAGUUAUUUGAAUAUAUUCAUAUCGUGUUUAUUAUGCUCAAUAUUCCACCCGAGGCCGACGUGUGAAAAAGGCAAUAAUUCAGAGAUUUCAAGUUACAAAAAAAGCAGACUAAAAUUAUCUGAUGGUGAACAGUUGUUCACGUGUACUACAUAUAUUCUUGCAACAGAAGAUUGUAAAAUAAAGGAAGAUAGCGAUACAAUUUACAAAGAAGAAUCAAACUGAAAUUAUUUACAUCAAUUUUCUACAUUUGAUGUCGGGUAUUUGAGUGAUUCGCAGUCUAAUCGAUUCGGAUAAAAAAAGGCUUUUCUUUAAAAACAUCUACAUUCAAUGAUAAGAAAAUAUGCGAAUGAAUUCAAAAUGCUGGUGUUUCGAGGGGACUCAUUUUAUUGGCUAUUUAACAGCGCGCUUGAAUUUAAACUCGUUUCUAUUCUACGAAAGCAGAGGAGAGGGUGUAUCAAAAAAUCAUUGUCAUCAUUGUCGUUUUGUGUUCGAGUUGGUCGUUUUCAUCGUAUUUAUCGACGUCGUGUUGGCCAGCAUGCUUGUCACAUUGAAGAGUUUUGAACUUUUGCACAUACAAUUAAUGCUGUAAGCUAAACUUUUUCUGGGGAUCUUUUGUGCGGCGUCCUCAUGAGGAAUAUAAACAGCUUGUUUACCAAUCUAAGAUUUUCCUGGCUAUCUAGACAAUGCUAUGAUCGUAUAUUAUCAUGAGAGCAACAAGAGCUGUUUAAGAAUACUCUUUUUGUUGUGUUGGAGAGAGCUUAUCUUGGUGUUGUUCUUAAUCUCAUUCGCUGUUGCUUUCUAUUGGCCGUUGAUUUAUUUUGUCAGAGUUUUAUAGAUGGCUAUCUUUGUUUCUCAUCUUUUUCUCCCUUGAAAGGCUGAUUUUUAUGGAUUCUGACUAUUGUUAGCAAGUUUACGAUGGACGUGUUGUUGUAACAAAUUUCUUUGCUAUGAACUCUCGGUAUUGACAUUUUAACAGCUAAACUGAUAAAUAGUCCAUUCAUGUACUUAUAAAAAGCCUGAAGUGAUUCUUCGUUGAAGUUACAUCUUAAUUGAAUUGUGUUUGGUCGAACUACUUGCAAUGAAGAAGAAAACAUGGCAGGUCAACCAGAUAAAUGGUCCAUUUUUGUGUUUAUACAAAAUCUUCAAUGAUUUGUCGUUAAAGGGUCCAUCUUACAAGUGAUGCGUUUGGUCCAAAGACUUGCGGUCAAAGGAAAACAUGGCUGUUAGAACUCGUAUAGGUCCUUCAUUGUGGUUAUAAAAUGCUUUAAAUAAUUUUUUGCUUAAGGUCCAACUUAAAUGAAGUGUCGAACUUUUUGGUCGAACUAAUUACGGUGAAAAGAAAAUAUAGCCGGUUAAACUAAUAAAUGGUCAAUUCUUGUAUUUUUAAAAAGCCUGGAAUGAUUCUUUGUUAAAAUUCCAUCUUUAAUGAGUUGUGUAUGGUCGAACUACUCACGGCAAAAAGAAAACAUGGUUGGUUAAACUGAAGAAUGGUCCUUUCUUGUCUUUAUUUAAAACCCUUUAAUGAUUCUUCCUUUAAGUUCCAUUUUAAAUGUAUUGCGUUUGGUCCAAAUAUGUGCGGUGGAAAGAAACAUGGCUGGUUAAACUGAUAAAUGGUCCUUCUUCUGUUUAUAGAAUAUCUUAAAUGAUUCUUCGUUAAAGGUCCAUCUUAACUGUGUUGCGUUUGGUCCAAAUAUGUGCGGUGGAAAGAAAACAUGGUUGGUUAAACUGAUAAAUGGUCCUUCUUGUGCUUAUAGAAUACCUUGAAUGAUUUAUUCGUUAAAGGUCCAUCUUAACUGUGUUGCGUUUGGUCCAAAUAUGUGCGGUGGAAAGAAAACAUGGUUGGCUAAACUGAUAAAUGGUCCUUCUUGUGUUCAUAGAAUAACUUAAAUGAUUCUUCGUGAAAGGUCCAUCUUAACUGUGUUGCGUUUGGUCCAAAUAUGUGCAAUGGAAAGAAAACAUGGUUGGUUAAUUUGAUAAAUGGUCCUUCUUGUGCUUAUAGAAUACCUUAAAUGAUUCUUCGUUGAAGGUCCAUUUUAACUGUGUUGCGUUUGGUCCAAAUAUGUGCGGUGGAAAGAAAACAUGGUUGGUUAAUCUGAUAAAUGGUCCUUCUUGUGCUUAUAGAAUACCUUAAAUGAUUCUUCGUUGAAGAUCCAUCUUAACUGUGUUGCGUUUGAUCCAAAUAUGUGCGGUGGAAAGAAAACAUGGUCGGCUAAACUGAUAAAUGGUCCUUCUUGUGUUUAUAGAAUACCUCAAAUGAUUCUUCGUUAAAGGUCCAUCUUAACUGUGUUGCGUUUGGUCCAAAUAUGUGCGUUGGAAAGAAAACAUGGUUGGCUAAACUGAUAAAUGGUCCUUCUUGUGCUUAUAGAAUACCUUAAAUGAUUUAUUCGUUGAAGGUCCAUCUAACUGUGUUGCGUUUGAUCCAAAUAUGUGCGGUGGAAAGAAAACAUGGUCGGCUAAACUGAUAAAUGGUCCUUCUUGUGUUCAUAGAAUACCUUAAAUGAUUCUUCGUUAAAGGUCCAUCUUAACUGUGUUGCGUUUGAUCCAAAUAUGUGCGGUGGAAAGAAAACAUGGUUGGUUAAACUGAUAAAUGGUCCUUCUUGUGCUUAUAGAAUGCCUUAAAUGAUUUUUCGUUGAAGGUCCAUUUUAACUGUGUUGCGUUUGGUCCAAAUAUGUGCGGUGGAAAGAAAACAUUUUUGGUUAAACUGAUAAAUGGCCCUUCUUGUGCUUAUAGAAUACCUUAAAUGAUUCUUCGUUAAAGGUCCAUCUUAACUGUGUUGCGUUUGGUCCAAAUAUGUGCGUUGGAAAUAAAACAUGACUGUUUAAACCGAUAAAUGGUCCUUCUUGUUUUCAUAGAAUAUGUUAAAUGAUGCUUCGUUAAAGGUCCAUCUCAAAUGAAUUUUUUUGGUGGAACGACUCAUUGCAAAAAGAAAACAUGGUCGGUUAAACUGAUAAAUGGUCCUUGCUUGUCUUUAAAGAAGAACAUUAAAUAAUUCUUCGUGAAAGUUCCAUCUUGAAUGAAUUGUGUUUGGUCAAACUACUUACGGUGUUGUUUUUUGUCGAAAUAUGUUAAUUGAAUACAACACCGGGCUUGUCAAACUGUUGAAUGCUCUAUCCCUGUAGUGAAAAAUACGAGUUUAUACUUUUUUCUUUUUCAAAGGGCCAUGUUUGGUCAACAUUUGUUUGAUGAAGGGAAAAAAGGACUUUUUCAUUUACCAAUUUUUUUGUUUAAAAAUUUGCAUAAAUUUUCGAAAUGUUGAUUGAUGAAAAGUUCUUUAUAAAAGAGGAAUUGAAUUCUGAUAAUAGAUAAAUUAUAUAUUUGAUUAUAUAUCUGAAAACUAUAAAUUAU